CCUUUGUUGUGUGGUGAUAGGUUUGCACAGUGGUCAUUGGCUAUUUGUUGGCAGUCUGCUUUAAAUGGAGUCCCCACACUGAAGGCUACCUGAGGUCCGCCGCCCUGCCUGUGUGGACCACUCUGCUUUUCUACAUUGUGUCUUUGACGGGCUCGUGGAGGGUUCCUUUAUUUGUGGUGGUGGUGCUGCUGCUCAUUGUGGGCUCCCAAGAGAAGCCCCCUGUCCCUGGCAGAGGAGAGCUGCCUGGGCAAGUGUUGUCGUUUGCUGCUAACACGAUUUACAUGGCCAUUGCCUGGGGCAGCCUGCAAUCCAAAACUGAGCCUGGCGAAAGAUGCCCCACAGGUG